rnacentral:lncRNA from 10 species
GCUCACUGCAACCUCCACCUCCCAGGCUCAGCCUCCCGAGUAGCUGGGAUUACAGGUCUGUGCUGCCACACCCAGAAAGAGCUUGCUGACUCCUGGAAUAUUGGGAUGGCAACGUUUACAGAACUCUAGGGGAACAAGCAAGAAUCGUGGAAAACUACUGUUGGUUUUCAUAUCGGGGGCUGAAUAAACUGCAGGAAUACUGGCCCCAGUGAUCUUGGCUGUGGAUCAGCCACAUCAAAAUAUGUGAUUGCAGGAGACCGCUUAGAAACCUAUGCUGGCCUCAUGUCUGCAGAUGCAGAUGUCCACCAACACCAGAGGAGGAAGGGCUUCUCCUCAUCUGCCUUCCCAUCUGUCACGAGUGCCCCUCAUUGGCUGGCACUAAGUGAAACUGAUGUACAUUUCCAGCUUUUCCUCUUGAUACACUGGUGAUCAUAGAAGGGGCAGGGAUAGGGAAGCCCGGGGCUUUGGGGUGACUAGAGAGGGUAGGGAUUUGGAGUCUGGGAGGACUCCCAGGCUUUGGUGACAGUGAUGAAUUGUGGUGAUACCCACAGAGAGGAUGAGAAGAAGAAAAGAAGAAGAUUCUGGACAGGAGGGGAGGCCCUAUUGGGAGGUUAGAUUCCCAACCCCCUGCCAACUGUGGAGUUGAGUCACAGCCACCUGCCCCAGUGGGGCUGUACUUACAUUGAUUCAUGGAGUAAAACCAUUAAGUACUUUUGACAUAAAACAUUGGUAUUCUGAGCCCGGGAUGAACAGAUUUUGCCAUGGCUGAUGGAUAUCUAGCUCACAAGCUAACACAGCUAUACAUCUUCCUUUGGUAGGUUUCAAGGAGACCUUCCAGGAACUGGAAAGCAUUGGCAAUUUCUUUGGCCUGGCGCCCUGUUGGCAUGCAUGGUCUUGUGAAUGCCAGAGAGGCCUGAAGCAAAGUAACCAAGUGAGGAGAGUAGAUUGGAGGGAGAGGAGGUGAGACGCAAAGGGGUGGAGAGGAGACCAAGGAAACCCUGGGGAGGAGCCUCAUUACAGAGGUGAGAGGUCACCUAAUGCCCAUGGAGCAGGGAGCAAUGGAGGAUAGGGGGAAAGGGUGCUAGGACUGCAGGUGCUGACCAGCCCAGGCCUCCGCCUCCACCUGGCUUAUUGUCAGUCAGAGCUUCACCUUCCUCCAGAGCAUGCUCCCUACUGUUGACUGGGGACUGUGCUGUGAAAUUUAGCAAGAUCUGGCAGAAAACUCUUCCCCAUCCUAUAUCUUUCUUUGGGCAGAGACUCAAGGACCUCAGUUGUGUGACUUUUCACUUCAGCAAAGUUGGUUUUAUUAGCUCUACUUCCCCCAGUUUGGUAGUAAUCCAGCUCACAAAUCCAUCCUUACAGCCUACUAAUCCAUGUUACAUCCUACUAGUUAACGAUUGUCUUCUAAAUGAGGAAUGCCUUCCAAUUAUUUUUAUGUGCAAAUACAAUACUGCAGGUGCUUAAACAUCAAUAAUGGUAAAAACAACAUGGUAAUUGCUCUAGACUGAAUGUUUGUAUUUCUCUCAAAUUCAUAUGUUGAAGCCCUCAACCCCAAUGUGGCUGUAUUUUGAGAUAGAGCAUUUACAGGAGUAAUUAAGGUUAAAUGAGUCCACAAGGGUAGGGCUCUGAUCCAAAAGAAAUAGUGUCCUUAUAACGGGAGGAACCAGAGAGCUCUCUCUCUCUGCCAUGUAAGAAUACAGUAAGAAGGUUGCUGUCUACAAACUAAGAAGAGGGCCCUCACCAGAAUUCAAUCAUGCUGGCACCUUAUCUUGGACUUUCAACCUCCAGAAUUGCAAGAAAAUAAAUUUCUGUUCUUUAAGCCACCCCAGUCUGUUGUGUUUUGUUAUAGUAG